UAUCCUUUGGUUUUUCCCUCCACCCUUUCAAAAGUUUGAAAAACAAUACAUUUCUUCAGCUUUGUAUUCUCUAUAUUCAUUUCUUCUAAACACAUUUGCUUUUGUUUUUCAUUCUCUCUCUGCAUUCAUACUUCUCUCUCCCUUAUAGCUUUCUCCUCCGCCUUUCCUUCUCCAUCCCAGCUUCCUCGUCCGCAAAUCAUCCUCCCUGUACCUGGUUGGUGGCAGCAUGCUGCCAAGUCCAACCUUGCCAGCUAUGAACAACAGGAUGCACAUGAAUUUUUCAUUUCCAUGCUUGAUGGAAUCCAUGAAAAGGUGGACAAUCAUAAGACACACAGUGAAGGUUGAAAUCCCUAUUGGAUUUCCUUUUGAGAUUGAGGACAAUCCUGGAGAAAGAACUAUUAAACUAAAAAGACAAUGUGAGGAUGAAAUUAUCACAGUUCAAGUUGCAGCAGGUAUGCAUUGCUUUGCUGCAGAUUUUGUGAUAUAGCCUUAGCAGGUCCGGUGUCGGUUUAUUAUAUUACAAGUUUUGUAGUUUAGUGAAUCAUGGUGUUGUAUCACCUUUGAUAGGAUACAGAAUUUGGACCUUUUGCCAAAUGCAUUUAUCAAAUAAAAACAUAGUACUACUCCUAAUUAAUGUGUUGUACCUUUACAUACAUGCUUUGAAGU